rnacentral:rRNA from 1 species
GGAGGUUGGAGCAGAGUGAUAUGUGAAGCCGCCCAAUACUAAUUGCUCGUGAGGCUUGACUAUACAACACCCAAGCAGUU